CUCCCCACUGAGCGUGGAGCCCUACGUGGAGCUUGAUGCCAGGAUCCUGAGAUCAUGACCUGAGCCGAAAUCGAGAGUUGGCUGCUUACCUAACUGAGCCACCCAGGUCCCCCGAGACCUGCAUUUCGUGCAUACCUAGUAUAAAGGUUCUAAACUGGGGGACAUGUCCCCUCCAACACUUGGCAAUGCCUGGAGAUAUUUUUGGUUGUCAUAACUUGGGAGGUACUACUGGCGUCUAGUGGGUUAGAGGCAGGGGAUGCUGUGAAACAUCCUACAAGGCACGGGGCGUCCCCCACCAUGAAGAAAUACCUGGUCCCAAAUGCCAGUAGUGCCAGGGUUGAGCAGUCCCACUGCAGUGUGUAUCAGUUUUACAUCACUGGCUAGCUUAACCCAUGAACCAGUCCUGAGACAUUGUACGUCCCGUCUUUCACAGUUUCCUGUAAGAAAACUUACAGGGGAACAGGGCCAAAGCCAGGGAGCUAGUAAGUGCCAGAGUUGGAAUUUGAACUCGUGUCUUCUGUCAGAAUCCAGACACGCCUUCUCUAUUCUCCCUGCUGCAUUUGUUCCUGCAAAGGAAGAGGCAUGCCGGACCGUGGGGUUCUUUUUCUGUAGCGUGGGCUCCAGACUGGAGGAGGCAGGAAGGAAGGUGGUUAUUUAUACACAGCUCUGCAUAGGAUCAAAUAGCUCUGCGUUUUCCGAUCCUGAAGGUCUUACAGUGAGGAUUUCACAGAAAUACGAUCAUUGAGACGUUGGCUUCCCCCUGCAGGUCUAAAUAUGGGAACACAUACUAUCUUUUCCUUUAAAAAUACUACUGUUAAUUUAUAGUAAGAUAAAACACAGGAAUUUUAAUUCCAAACCCUGUUUAUUGCUUGUGCCUAUGAACUAUUGCAGGCCCCCUCAUAGUAAUUUAAUUACUAAGUAUCCCUUUGGGAAGGGAUAACAUGAAGAGGGGAAUUUGGAAGAUCCUAUAGGACUGCUCUGGAUUUAGAGAUAAAUGUAAAAAUACAUUGAUUUGUCAGAGGUAAGGAGCCCUUUUGAGAAUCAGCUUGUUUUAGUGUGAUCUAGAAUGACCGACUGGCUUUUGGUAGCUCAGGAUACAGUUGCUAAUUUUCUAAUGGGGUUUCUAAUUAUUAUCCAGCUCCUGGGCGGAUUUUGGAUGUAUUAGCAGCCUUCCUUGGUAGCUUGUGACAUUGAACCCUCCAUGAUAUCCUAUUAUUGAUAUUUUCAAGGUUAUAUAUUUUAAAAUCUAGCCUUGGAUGGUGAUGUGAUGGAGGCUGCCCCACUGAAAUUGGGGUCGGAACUUUUAUGGGCAUGAUUUGUCUGUUUACAACAGUCCUUGGGUUGUGUGGUCUUAUUUUUUUGCUGGCCACACGGUGCCCUGGUGCUUGGACUGCUGGGGCCAUUUGGUGAGCAUGAAGUUUCUAUCAUUCACCCAUUGGAUCUGUUGUCCUGAGACAGAUGGGGUCUUCAGUCCAGCCAGCGCUUUGGGGGGAGUCCUGUUUGCCGCACCUGCUAAUCUCUUGUCAGUUCUGCUGGAAAGUCAGUGCUCUAGGGAGUACUGAAGGGUGAUCCCAUCAUGGAGGUUGGCAAGCCAACAGCAGAGCCUCCAGCUUUAUGUUGGGGGACUCACGUUCGCAGUAUGGCACACAUGGAUACAAAAUGUGGGUGAAAAUGAUACAAGGAGGACUUAAAACUUCCUUGUUGGCUGCCAUCUUGGUGUUAGUGGUAGCUAGCCUGGAUUACACCACAUUCAGCAUUGAACUUGUGUGGUUUCUGCUUUUCAGAUCCCUUGUUUAGGUUCACAAGCAUAACUCAAAAGUAGUUAUAGGAAGUUUUGAUAAACUGAAGGCAUGAUCAAUGAAAGGAACUCUUGUAAGUAUGUCUCAGUAUUGAGGCAUAACCAUCAACAUAACAAACAUAAUGUUUAUUCACUAUAUUAAUGUUAAUAUUACUCAGUGCUUAACUGAUUGGGCUGAGCUUUUUUCUGCCCCCAAGAUUUCCCAGUGAGGAAGACCUUAUUCUCUAUUGCUUGCCUUGGGAAGAACAGUUAAUUGCGGAUUCCUUUUUGGGAUGGGAAGACUGCAGGUGACAUGAUAAUAGUAUUUUUUAAAGCUUUUAUAAAGUAGACCUCCUUUAGAAAGAAAACAUCAGUGAGGCCGCCACGUGUUGCCUUAAAUUAUUUUUUAUUGUAAUGCUUCUUAAAAUAUGUCUUAACAUAAAAGGAAAAAAACAUGUUUAUAUUGCAUGUAUCACCAUAAUGAUCACUAAAACCAAUGUACAGAUUGAUUACAAAUCUAAUUCCCAGCCUAAUUCAGUUGAACUAGGAUUUUAAUGUGACAGGUGAUGCUGUUUUGCUAAAACCACAGCUCCCGGAUCUGUGUUCAGGAAGUACCUUUACUUCUGUUGUUCAGACUUCCGCACUAGAGCGCAAAGAUGUCUUGUUAGCUGGAGACCCAGCAAGGUACUGCUGCCAUCUUGCCCGUGAAUACAAGCACCGAAAUCAGUGGGAGUACCCAGUUGCAUGAGGUGGCCAUGUAGAGGAUGUCGAAUGUGCUUGUAUUAAUGCGUGAAGGUCGUCAUUGCCGGAGGCUUCUGUGCAAGGGAUGACCAUAAAAUAAGGAACAUCUUCUUAACAGAUCGCCUGGAUGCCCCCCAUCCAGAUGAGCAUUGCCAUUCAAGGUGGUUUCUUGGGAAGGUAACUGUAGGCUUGGCAGAGAGAAAGAGGAUUGUUACUUGCAAAGUGGAGGAGCUCGGUGAGGAAACGAGUAAAUAUGAUUCUGCUGCUCCAAACUUACUGUGAAUGACAGCCCAGUAGAAAGGAAGCUUGAGGCCGCACCACCCCGCAGCCCUUGGUGUCCUGCCACAUCAUUCACUAGUUCACUCCUCAUUCAUGGAACAUUCCCCGAAGCACAACAAGAGUUUCAAAACGUGCCAGGAAACCUAAAACUUAAAAGACCUUCUAAGUUCAUAUCUAUUCUGUUAUCCAUGGGACGUGUUGUUACCAAGUGGGACACACUCCUGUGUCCUGCACGAUGCACUUACCGUUACCUGCGUGUGUCUGUCCAUGCUUCCCUUGGGCCGGAUGCAUGUGGGAUGUGGCUGUUGGCCGAGGGUGGGCUGUCUCAGACAUCUGUGGGUAGCUGAACUGCUGAAGCAAACUUGGCUUUUCAUGUAUGUAUUUUUCAUCUCAUUUACCAGUGUCCCUGGAAGAAGGUCUGCUUCCUCAAUGUGCUAAAACAACAGUUUGAGUAUAGUCAGAACGUGUUUUUCUUAGGACAGAGUGAUUUCAAAUCUCCCCUCCCUUUGAUGAAAAAAAGAGUUCUCAGAACUGCUCUGUCCUUCUUUAGGUCUGUUGGCGACUCUGUGAACUCGUAUUCCUUUUUCAGUUAUGUUUUGGUCAAAUAAUCUCUUCACCAAAUCUUUCAGAAUUUCCUGAAAUACUUAAGGAGCCAUAGCCCGCUAGGGCCGAGGGGAAGCCUUAUUUCCUCAUUUUCCAGCGGAGGGAAGCUACUGCUCUUUCCACCUAAAAUAACUGUAAGGACAUUUCUCCCUCCCUCCCAUGAAGGCUUCUCUUCCUGCGGACAUGUUUUUGGUCUUCUGGUGCAAUUCCAGGUCACCUUUGGCCUCACCCCGAGCCAGGGUUUCUCUUGGAGAUCCUGACCUCACCCCACACCACCUGCUACACCUUUCCCGGAGCCACACCUCUGUGUCCCUUCCUCACUUUACACCCCCCAUCCUCAUCAGGGCCUUUGAUAUCCCUGUGGAUGUGCUUUCUGAUCCCCUGGCCUUGUAAUUUCUCACUGAAGUAAGUCCAAAUGUACUUCUCCUUAAUCCAAGCCCUUGUUGGUUUUGGACGUGCUUCAACUCUGCAGUCUUACCUCCCUGGCCUUACCUCUGUGCUCCACUUUUCCCUUGUCCUUCUAUCUCCAUGGUCUCGGUGGGACAGUGGUACCAGAAAGACCUGGGAAACGUUCCCAAACACUAGAAUAACGGGGAAUGUGGAGGGAAGAUGUGACCCUCAGUAUGGAUGUCUGUAUGUUGGAAAGGUGCCUAGGCCAUGCUGACAUCCCUGCCUGCCCCCAGCCUGGAUUCCCCUGGGUUCUGGCAGUUGUCUUUGGGCCUCACUUCUGUAUUCAGCCCGGACACCUUCAUUGGCUGCUGCCACAGGGCCUUUGCGCUCCCUCCAUACCCUUUAAUCUUGACCCACUGAUGUGCUGUGUUCUUUCUGCUCCUAGCUGCAGGAAAUUGCUGGUGAAGGUCACCAAACUAAGUUGUGUGGGUUUAUCAGAAGUGCGUGCUGCUAACUUUGGCCUGACUAGUCCUGAGACUUUACGGUCCAGCCCCCCUGCUUUUUUUUUUUUUUUUUAAAGAUUUUAUUUAUUUAUGUGACAGAGACAGCCAGUGAGAGAGGGAACACAGCAGGGGAGUGGGAGAGGAAGAAACAGGCUCCCAGCGGAGGAGCCCCGAUGCGGGACUCGAUUCUGGAACGCUGGGAUCACGCCCUGAGCUGAAGGCAGACGCUUAAUGACUGCGCUACCCAGGCGCCCCAGCAGCCCACCUGCCUUUUGUUGCUUCCUGAUUUCAGUUCUCUUAGCCAUUGGGUUGGCCCAGUGGUUCUCACUUCCAGUUGCACCUUAGAGUCGCCUGAGGGAGGUUUAAAACUUUAUUGAGGCUCUGGGGCUCAUGCCCAGAGGUCCUGAUGUCACUGGCCAGGGGCAUGCAGGCUGGGCUUCGGUGGGCUGUGUUUAGAAGCUGUGCAGGUGAUUUUAAGAAGCCAGAGUUGAGAGCCAAUGUCUAUUCUUGUCUGCUCUUCAUCCUCCCUUAAGAGGAUUGCUGUUCUUUUAAGAUCUCUGCUGAUCCUUUGAGGAAGAAAUAUUCUUCUUGCCCACAUCUGACCCUUGCCUGCCUCUGGAUCCCUCUGUUGUCUGCUGUCUUCUGGACCUGAGCCCAUGAAUCCUUUAUUCUGCCUGCACUGACAUCGGCCACAUUGGACGGCCCAAAUAAAAAUGUCAGUCUUGUGAAAGCCAGGGCACCGAGGGGCUAGGGAGGAAACGAGGUGCCUAUCAGGGGAAGUGAAGAGGGUGCCCUCCAGUCUGCCAGGGGCUAGGACCAGCGAAGGGGUGGAUUAGGCAGACUUGGGUUUGAAUCCCGACUCUGCUCCUCAUUGGCUAGUUGUGGUCUCCCUCACUCUUUAAGGAAGUUCAUCACAGUUACUGUAUUGGAUUUUUGAGGAUGGGACUCGGUAACAGCACGGUCCGCUCUUAGCACAUGCCUAGCCCAGAGUGAGUGCUCAGCAGAUGCUCCUUAAAACAUGUCCUUUCCUACCUUCAGAUUCAGGAAAAUAUUCCUUAGUGCAGCACAUGUAUUAUUUUACCCUUUGGUCAGUCCCUUUAUACUUGAAUGGUCCUUACCAUAUUCUGCUUGUGCUGUUUUAUUUAUUUAUUUUUUAAAAAAGAUUUUAUUUAUUUAUUUGACAAGAGAGACAGCCAGAGAGAGAGGGAACACAAGCAGGGGGAGUGGGAGAGGAAGAAGCAGGC